rnacentral:rRNA from 1 species
UCAGGCCUAACACAUGCAAGUCGUACGAGGUGUAAAUAAUUCACUUGUGAAUUGUUUAUUACUACAGUGGCGCACGGGUGAGUAACACGUAAGAACCUGCCUUUUGGAGGGGGAUAACAUAGGGAAACCUUUGCUAAUACCCCAUAAAGCUGAGGAGCUAAAUCGCAUUUGCGGCCAAGAGAGGGGCUUGCGCCUGAUUAGCUAGUUGGGGAGGUAAUGGCUUCCCAAGGCCACGAUCAGUAGUUGGUCUGAGAGGAUGAUCAGCCACACUGGGACUGAGACACGGCCCAGACUCCUACGGGAGGCAGCAGUGAGGAAUUUUCCGCAAUGGGCGAAAGCCUGACGGAGCAAUACCGCGUGAAGGAAGAGGGAUCGUGGUCUGUAAACUUCUUUCUCAGAGAAGAAGAU